UAGAAGAUCUUGUGAGGCUGGAAUCCAGUGGAUACAUUUCCCUCAUCUGACUCAUGCUAUAGAAGCACAGCAUCACCAGAGAACUCUCCUCCUCAUGUGUCUGCCAGUACAGACCUUCCGUCACUCCUAUGGCACAGAAGGCAAACUGAACAACCCUGACUAUCUUUAAAAGCGAUGAAUUGGUUUAGGAGUUCAAAAAUAAGGCUGGCAUGAAUUUCCUUCCGGGGUCCAACCUUUCUCUUCAAGUUUGCUGAAGGUGGUCGGCUGAGACUGGUAAUUUUUAGGGCUCAAAAGUUCCCACAGGUGGCAUUCCCCACAUUUACCUCUUUUGCAGAAGACACUGCAGUUUCAAGGAGCCAGCCCAUGAGGACUUACCAUUCACUAAAUAUUGUGUCUGCAUGAUGAAGGCACUGCAUAAAAACACCGGGGGAUGGAUGCAAACAAUGUGCUGGUGAGAGUGACAAUAAAACAGAGAUGACAGCAUAAAGAGAGAAUGAUGAAUGUGUUAACACAGCUGGUGAUUUCUCUAAGUAGCUCAGAACUGCUGUCAGAAUUGUUGAAACCUGCCAGAAUUUUUUUUCUUCUUUUCUUCCCAAACACCUCCAGAGACUGAGAAUUCUCCUCCUCUGCUGCAUUCUGCUUUGUAUCUAUCUUGAAUUACUCUAUUUUGUAUUAGUUUAGAUUUAAAGGUCCAAUUUCUCUUAUCUAUCAAGGAUGAGAAAAACAGAGGAAUUGAGGCUGUUAUUAUAUGAAAAACUGGCAUUAAUGUAACAGUCUGAUUUAUUAAAAAUGGUGUUCCUAAACAGUUGAAAGAUGCUAGUCUAUAAA